rnacentral:lncRNA from 1 species
UCUAGCUGCACUGGUUUUGAAAAGUAAAAAAUGCUUUCUGAUUAUUUUGCCUUAACUGUCUUGAAGAAUGUUGGGGUUUUUUAUGAGACAGAUUUCCUUUGGAAUAACCUGUGUCUGGUUAGGAAGACUAAGGUGGAAAGAAAUGGCUCCAUCCCACUCAAGAUGACACAUGCAGCUCAAAAAAGUGGGAACUUUGAGCUGGUUGGAAGUCAAGCUGAACCACAACCUCCCUUGAGGUGGGGAGAAUGGAUGAGAAAUAGAAGACUGUGUCUUAAAAUGGAAUUCAAGACAAGGGGAAGAAACAGAGGGAAUCCACUCUGUUGGAAAUAUACUUUCUUCAAUUACCUGCUUUCAAAUGAAAGGAAAAAGUAGAUUGCUUAACCUGAAAAGGUGGCUGAACAACAGGUCAGUAGGUUCAAACCAAAGAAAUAACAAUGAGAUAGUUGCCAAAGGAAGUGAUUAUAUACAGAAGUAUGACAAACUCCAAAAUCAGUGACAAAUGUUUUCAGAGGAUAAAAGAAUAGAGAAUGUUUCUAAUAAGAAAUGCAAAGAUUAUUGUAUGUCUAAACUAAAUAUUACAGUCUAGCUAUUUAACAACUUUCUAGAAUUAAUUGGUGAUGGAUGAAGGGUCCAAAUCGCCUUGCCUGCUUUUCUGAGCCAAAUAAGGUUUAGUUGGAGUCAAUAAGAUUCACACAGCCACUCUUUUCUAGAAACUGAGAAACAUACUCUAACAUGAAAAUGAAGAAAUCAGAAUCAUUAAGUUUAGCAUGUAGUCUAAAAAUUAGUAUUUGUCACAAAAUGUAUAUUUAAAUCCAGAAGAAGGAAAUUAGUCAUUUUAUAACAUGAAUAAAAGGAAAACUUGUUCUAAUGAAGCUGUGGGA